AUUUCAUCAAUGCAAGGAAGUUGUGACAAUGCAAAUCACACGUUUGCAACGGCUCACACACAUCUGACUAAUGUCUUUAUGCCACCUCAACUCAGAGGGGUGAGAAAAGGGAGCUCCAAGAAUAUUACAAAGAUGUUAAUGAAACCGUUUUUCAUGAAACCUGCAAGGCUGGUGUGUCCAACCUCUGGUGACUACAAUGGAUUGUUGUGUUUGCUUCUACCCACAGUACCCACACUGACCCACAGUGAGCUCCCAGGCCUCUUCUUGAGAUUAAGUAACGACAGCCCUGAGAAGAGGGAGGGGGGUUUCAGCCACAGCAGGGGAGGAGGAUGCUCCCUCUCUGUUCCCUGCAGCUGAUUGAUGCUGGCAGCCUUUUACCUUUUUAGUUUACCGGCACAGUGCAACGCUCAGCUUUGUCACUGGGAGCUGCACCAAUCUCCGGCCUGCUGCUGGGCGAUGAGAGCUGCUCAGCGGAGACUGGCGACAUUUACACCCUCCCUCUCCAACGAAACUACACAGAGAGAAAUAACUUUAUGGUCAGAGGCACAGAGGGUGAGUCCUUGAAGGAGAUAGAUAACAUUGGCCUCUGGAGGAUCACAGAUUGUAAUCUGUCCAUCUGCAGCUGUUUAAUCCAACCCGUGGCUGAGAGCGUGACACACAACUUCAGUGUUUAAGAGCAUGACAAUGUAAUACAAAAGCCAAAGCAAUUUGAUUUUCAGAGAAUUCUACAAGUAUUUUAAGCACCAAAAUUGUCUGAAGCUUUGCUUGUUUUGACCGAUCAGGGCAAGAAACUCAUUUAAGAACAUAUCACCCAAAGACAACACUGUACUUCCAGUGUUUUGUACAUUGUUGCUCUAGUUAUAAUAAAACAAGUUGAAGCGUCGUGGCUUAAUAAUUAAUAAGCAUCUUGCACAAAGCUAGUUGUGUCUUGUAGUUAAGUAAUUUGCGUUGGUAAAGGUUCAGGACUACAGCUUGAUUGUAUGAAGGUUUUGCGUAAUGCGGUCGUGACCUGAUCUGUUAUUAAUUUUAAUUUAGUGUUGCAUUGCUGAACUAAGAGCUACAAGAAACAAGAUGGCGGAGAAACAAAAGCGUGUCAUAUGUGCAGGUUUGUACGUCUUGUCUUCUUAUUGCUGCGUUUCACUUUAUGAGAUGAAACAGGCUAAUGACAGAGUGGCAUCAAAUUCAAAAGCAUAGCCUGGCUUUCAAAUGAUGGAUUGUGGCUUUCAACAGUGUUUUAGUUACUCUGCCAGACUUCCGCUGAGGCAAAGGAUUUGUGAAAAUGGGGAAGUUUGUCUUCUUGUGAAAGUCACUAAUCCAUCAUAUUCACUGUAUGUGAUUUAUGCUGCAACUUUUAUGAUAGUUUAUUAAAACAGUAAAGUGUUUGCUUUAAUGAAGAGCCAUUAAAAAAACAAGCGAGUAAGAGGACCAUGAGCUGAGUUUCUUUUUGUCAAUGUACCCUUCUCUAAGCCCCGCCCCCCGCUGCUACUCAGUCAAGUUGUCAGAGCUGUCGUUACAUUACAUUACAUGUCAUGGAGCCCACACUGUCACAAACUGCACACACUGAGUAACUUGUAUCUAAUUGUUGGAAAAACUGAUUCAUAAGUGAACACAAGUUAAAAAGACAAGGACAGAAGAUGAAGCAUACAGAUCAGUGUAAAUGUGAACCGCCUGGCGAUCACAUUAUUCACUAUUACAAUCAUUGAAAGGCAAAAGCAGCAUGUGUACAUACAUGAAUACAUGACAUACAUGAUGAAUAAACAACAUGGUCUCACAGUAGUUUGUGAAAUAUAAUCACAAAAAGCGUUCCAUUGUUCUUUUCUUUCCUGAUGACAUUACGUUAUAACAUGAAAGUUAGAUUUAAACAGAUGUUGGCUGGUUCUCUCUAUUACAGUGUAAGCAUCACAGUGGCUAUGGUACUAAUGUUUAUACGAUGGUUAUCAGAGAGACAGUUUCACCCUUUAGAAAAAAAAACAUAUCCUCAUUCACUCUAUGAUUUUAUAAGGCUUUCAGUCCUUUUGAUUUUCUUAAUCUAUUGUCGGAAUGUUUGAGUUAUUCCUCAAAAGAUGACAAAAAAACCUCAAAAGUCUGCAAACUUUUCUCGUUUUCAUGCUUAUGCUUCACCACUAAACGUAAGUUGCAACAUCUUCCAGGACACAGUAUUUAUGAAUGCAAAAGCCACAUCUGUCAUGAAUAUCCGUAAAGGGACUCUACAGUAAAUGGGACAUUUCAGAAAACAAGGAAAGAAAGAGAGGAUAUUCUUGCGUUUAGCUACAUGCCAUUUAACUUGUUUUUCUGCUCUCACACCUUAACAAAGACAUCUUAUUCAUUAAUUAUGAAUAACACACACACACAUUAUAUGUGAGAGGCAGAUAAUAUGAGCAAGUGUGAAAGAGUCAGCACAUAAAAGCUAAUGUGAAAAAAGCUGUUAUCUCCAACUCUGCAAAUUGGCUAAUUUGGCUCUCUUUAUCUGUCUCCCUCCUGUGCUCAGUGUGUUCACUGUGUGUGUGUGUGUGUGUGCACGCUUUAAGCAUUUGGCUCAGAGUUUUCUUACAGAAAAACUGCAUACACUGAGUGAAAUGUGUUUUGGAGGUUUUUAUCUCGGACACAGAGCACUAUUAGAAAUAGCCGCUUGUCAGAGAAACUCAUUUGCGUCUUUUGACUAACAUUUGGUCUUUAUCUAUACAGACGAUAUAAGGUGGAGGAGUUCAUCCUUGCCUCGUGAGGCAUUGCCCCAUUAUUGUUGCAAUACGAGAAAUGUGAGACACACAAUGAGGAAAAUGGGUCUCAUUUGUCUGAGCCUCUGUUGCUGUGUUUUCAUCGUGGACAGUGAAGCAAUACGUCCUGUUUCUGUAGAUUACACUAGUGGAAGAGUCACGGUCGAUCCUUCCCUUUUCCUGUCCAGAUGGCAGCAUCAGCUGACAGAUACAAGGUUUCUUGUGCAGACAUGUCUAUCUUUGAAGCUCUCACGGAGCUCAUUGGUGGCAAGGUGUUGCAUGUGCGUGCAUCUUUCUUUGUGCAUGUAUCUUCUUAUGAUUUUGUUUGCAUAAAUCAAUCAUAAUGCAUUCAUCAGCGUCAGUGCUGCUGGACAUCUGACACUCUUUUUGUUACAAAUGUGUUCAACUCAGACGCCGCUCACACAAAGUCUUUUUUUGAUUAGACUCCUGGGAUAGUUUGGAUUUGUGCCCUUGUAUCCCACAAGGGAACCGACAUUUGAUGACUGUACUGUUCAGCCAAAGAGAAAUCCCC